ensembl:lncRNA
GCCUGGCAGCAGUGACAUAGAAUAUUCCUGUUUAUUAUAAAUGGGUUAUGAUUUAAUGCAGUUGUAAUUAGAGUAGAACUUAUUAUGACCAGGUAAAUGAACGUGGACCCAAGUGCAGCACACAGGAGUCACGAGUGAGGUUUUCUGGAAAAUAUCGGAUUUAUUCACACAAAAAAGGUGCACAGGGCAGGGGUGAGUGUAGUGGGGGUAAUGACAUCGGAGAGCAAGCAGGCAGGUAUGGAUUCUGGAACACUAGGGCAAAAAACAGAUUAAGGUGAGCAAAGAACAUCGUCUUAUCCAAACGAGAUGGCCCAAAUGCGUCUCUAGCACUCCGGCGACGAAACGAUCUGGCGAUGAAUGGCAGGAAGACUCAGGUUAAUAUAGGGUAGUCCCCUAAUGGCUGAUUGCAGUCAGUUGUUCCAACCUCCAGCGCCCAGGAUGAGCAGGAGAUGGCCACACCUCCUUGGUGACAGACAGGGUAAAACAUCGGCAAAACAAAGGAAACACAGGGCAGCUGCUGGACUGACUAGCUGACAGCAUGACAGCACGAUGUCUGCACUGGAUUUCUGAGCUUCCCUGAAUACAUUUCAAGAUAAUGCCUAAAACAACCUAAUGAGAAGGACAUGCAAUGCAUUUGCUUAUUCUGAAAUUUUUAAUAUUUAGGUAAUGGUUCCGGUUUUAUGGAGCUGUACUAAAAAUCACCUGUACUGGAUUUCUGAGCAAUGAAAUAAUGUAUUAAUUGAUUAUAUAAUGCAUAAAUGUGUGCAUCCCAAUUCAUAGCACCGUUUUACUACCUACAAGUUUAACAUUAAUUCUGAAAAUAGUCAGUAUGAACAUUGUCUAAACACUGAUAGAAAAACAGAAAUUUAGUGCAAUCUUUACCAAAAUGGACAAUUCAGGGACUCACCCAAACCCCUAAUGCUGAUGUAUCACCACCCUGUUCUACUUGGUGGAUUCAAGGUACACUAACAACUUCGAUUGUAGAGGGCGGUGUAGAAAGCUAGCAACAACGACCUGUGCUUCUUGAUAGCUAAGUCCAGGUGGUGAAAAAACUUCAGAAAUCUGUUUUUUGGUGGCAUUUUCCUUUCUACAAAGCACCAAAGGGUCAACAAUAUCAAUGUUGAGACCAAACGAAAUACUAAAAUGAAGCUUUUAUUAUUUCCUGGCGUAAUUAGUACUUUACAGUGUCAGACUACUGCCAUCUCUCUUUCUACGAGGGACCAUUUACAGUGUUUCUGACUCUGCCGCUUCAGCUAAUAAAAUGACAGCAUCUUGUCCCGCAGGCUCGAGGACGCAUUGGAAAACUGAAAAAGUAUAGUAUAGAUAACUAGAAAAUUCCAAAGUAAUUUUAAGAGUGUGGUCUAGACUGCCCGCUGGUGCCUGUGCAUGAACGGCCAAGCAGGCAAGUGAAGACUAGCCACAAAAAAACGUAAGUCAUUUCUCUUAGCCAGAUAAUAGCACACAAUUCCCGAUGGGUCCCGACAAUCGCUGAAAGGUUGAGACAAUUCCGAGCAACGGUGCGGGAGGAGAUGCGUGCCAAACUUUUGUACGGAAGAAGAAUAAAGCAAAGAAGCCCGAGAGAUUACAAGGAGUUUGGCGACCAUAUGCAAACCUACGCCCUUGGGUAAUUCCAAAAGACCAUAUAAAUGAAGGGACUGUGUUUUUGACCCCCCAAUAAGAUUAAGUCAAAUAUUGAUGAAUGGCGCUCGAUACGUUUAUUGAAUUGGCAUAUUGCAGAUUGGAAGUACAUCUAAAUUUAAAUGGUGCGGACGGACUCGAGGUUUGGACGGUGUCCGGUGAAGCGGAAACAUUGAAUGAACGAAAAUUGGUGUUGUAGUAUUAGAUAGUAAUUGUCAUUAGUAUUAAUCCAUUAACGUCAAUGUAUGAAUUAACUUUGAUGCUAGCUAGUCAAACAUCAUAAUUUAUAAAUAUUUGUUCUUGCACGAUGGCAAUAGUCUUAAUCAUUGUUGUAUAUCCAUGUCGUUUAUAUGGGUGGUUUGUAAUGCUAUAUUUUGUUUUCAAAGUUUAAAACAUAAUAGAAAAGCUUCAAUAUAAAACCGAUCCCUUGGUCUUUAUCUACUGUUAGCUAUCUGCUAAGCUUUCAGGUACAAAAUACUUUUUGUCCAGUUGUUUAUCAAGACAUGUGAGCCAUCUUUGUAGAUUAAGUCUGAAUAUUUUGUAAAGCCUAAAAAGUUUUAUAUA